UCUCUCUCUCUCUCUCUCUCACGUGUCUGUGUGUGUCGGGUCAGAUCAAGGUGAUCAGCGGGACCUUUCAUGUGACACCUGCAUUUAGAGACGCGGUCUUUCCCUGCGUGGAGUUGGAGAGAGCAAGCGACCUUCGGUGACCACGGACAAUGAUAUUCCGGCUGAAAUCUUGAUACGGACACACAGGGGAUGCAGAGGACGCAAAAAACUACGGAGGAAAAGGCGAGUCUUCCCUCCAUUGUCAUGGGAAACGUGAGAUCGCUGGGGAAUAAGAUGGACGAGCUGACUGCACUGGUC
rnacentral:misc_RNA from 1 species